ACUUUGAACGCAAUUUUGUUUUUCCCAGUUGGAGUCAUUCGAUGUCCAGUUUGCGGCCAAGAAUGUGCAGAGAGACACAUCAUAGAUAACUUUUUUGUGAAGGACACUACUGAGGUUCCCAGCAGUACAGUAGAAAAGUGUAAUCAGGUACCAUUUUAUAGAAGAAGCUUUUCAGAAUCAGAAAGUGAUCAUAGAUACACUAAUCACCAAACUGAUGGAAAAAACAAAAUACAUAAGAUUCACAGGAAAUCAGAUCCAAAACAGAUCUGAUCAGUCACACAGAGUGUUUGCUGAGUGUUGAACCAGCCUUGCGUCCCGGGGAUAAAUGCCACCUGGUCACGAGGCAUGGACACCUGCUUCUGGUGAAUCUUUACACUGAAUAUACAUACUCAGUUGUCGCGUGCCCCCCAUUGGCUAUCAUGAAACCUGUGGCGAUGAAAACGGGCGCGCAUGUGUAUCAUUGUGAGUGACCAGUUUCGGGCCUGGAGGACCCAACCACGUGCAACGGGCCGUUAUUCCUAGGUAGAAGGCAAAUGUCCUCUUUUCUCUCUAUGGGAAUCUUCAUUUUAUUAAGUAAAUACCGUCUGUCUGAAACCUUAAGGAACCAUUUACUUUUUUACCUGACACAUUACACCGGGGAACCUAUCCUGGACAAUGGAAACAUUUCAUUUGGGGCUUCACAUGAUCUUUGUUCACUCAGCUUCAAAAUGACAUGUUUCUUAACUACUGGGAAAACGAGGAGUUGCUCUCGUGUCUGCGGCAGAGACAGGAGGCCACACGGAGGACGCCAGGUACACACACGUCCCAGAGGAGGAAAGGCCACAGAGACAGAAAGGCAGGGGCUGCAGGGACAGCAGGGAGGGCAUGGGCACGAUGGUCAGUAGUUGGCUGUCUCUGG